UACGGGGGGGGCAAGCGUUGUUCGGAAUUACUGGGCGUAAAGGGCUCGUAGGCGGCCAACUAAGUCAGACGUGAAAUCCCUCGGCUUAACCGGGGAACUGCGUCUGAUACUGGAUGGCUUGAGUUUGGGAGAGGGAUGCGGAAUUCCAGGUGUAGCGGUGAAAUGCGUAGAUAUCUGGAGGAACACCGGUGGCGAAGGCGGAUCUCUGGGCCGUAACUGACGCUGAGGAGCGAAAGCAUGGGGAGCGAACAGG
rnacentral:rRNA from 1 species